UACGGAGGGUGCGAGCGUUGUCCGGAAUCACUGGGCGUAAAGGGCGCGUAGGCGGCAGGCCAAGCGUGCGGUGAAAGUCCGGGGCUCAACCCCGGAUCUGCCGUGCGGACUGGUUUGCUAGAGCACUGUAGAGGCGAGUGGAAUUCCGGGUGUAGCGGUGGAAUGCGUAGAUAUCUGGAGGAACAUCGGUGGCGAAGGCGGCAUCCUGGACCGGUAUUGACGCUGAGGCGCGAAAGCCAGGGGAGCAAACGGG
rnacentral:rRNA from 1 species